GCGGCAGUAGCUCAAUGGUACUAGCCCCGCUUCGAAUGCGGGGAGACCUGGGUUCGAUUCCCUGCUGCUUCC
rnacentral:tRNA from 1 species